rnacentral:rRNA from 1 species
AGAGUUUGAUCAUGGCUCAGGAUGAACGCUAGCUACAGGCUUAACACAUGCAAGUCGAGGGGCAGCAUGGUCUUAGCUUGCUAAGGCCGAUGGGCGACCGGCGCACGGGUNAGUAACACGUAUCCAACCUGCCGUCUACUCUUGGACAGCCUUCUGAAAGGAAGAUUUAAUACAAGAUGGCAUCAUGAGUUCACAUGUUCACAUGAUUAAAGGUUUUCCGGUAGACGAUGGGGAUGCGUUCCAUUAGAUAGUAGGCGGGGUAACGGCCCACCUAGUCUUCGAUGGAUAGGGGUUCUGAGAGGAAGGUCCCCCACAUUGGAACUGAGACACGGUCCAAACUCCUACGGGAGGCAGCA